CCUACGGGGGGCAGCAGUGAGGAAUAUUGGUCAAUGGCCGUAAGGCUGAACCAGCCAAGUAGCGUGAGGGAUGACUGCCCUAUGGGUUGUAAACUUCUUUUAUAUGGGGAUAAAGUUUUCCACGUGUGGGUUUUUGUAUGUACCGUAUGAAUAAGGAUCGGCUAACUCCGUGCCAGCAGCCGCGGUAAUACGGAGGAUCCGGGCGUUAUCCGGAUUUAUUGGGUUUAAAGGGAGCGUAGGUGGAUUGUUAAGUCAGGUGUGAAAGUUUGCGGCUCAACCGUUAAAUGGCAGUUGCAAAUGGGAGACCUUAGGAGCGCAGAGGGCAGGCGGAAUUGGUGGUGUGGCGGUGAA
rnacentral:rRNA from 1 species